rnacentral:tmRNA from 1 species
GGGGCUGACCGGUUUUGACAGCGGGUAGAAGUGGUUUGUAAGCAUGCAGUGCGUCGUUGACCGGCACUAUAAUCUCGGCUGAUAAAUAACUAAUUGGCGAAAAUAAUUACGCUCUCGCUGCUUGAUCGAAGUAUAGUAGAUUAAACUUUAUCCUUACACAAGGUGUUUGGACGAGAUAUCACCCGGAAGCUCUGGCUUCGAAGCAAUCCGAAUCGGUGGUACAGCAAUAUCGGAGAUAGUCUGAAGAGAAUCCCGGACUUCGGAUGAAACACAGGGAAUAAGCUUAAUGUUGGUGGCUUUGGUCUUGCAUUAAGUCGAAAAUGAAGGCAAAGAUAAGCAUGUAGAAAGCAGAUUAAUUCCUCGUUUGGACGAGAGUUCGAAUCUCUCCAGCUCCACAA